ensembl:antisense Gm26633 predicted gene, 26633
GCUAGCCGGCGAGGAUGCAGAGAGAGAGAGUGAGGGACCUUGAGCCGUUCUGCACGCGUCCUCAGCUCUGUGAGCCCCUCUGGCACCGCGGGGAGGUGAAAACACACCGAGAUGAAGAGGGCUCUGACUUGUUUGAGAAUGUUGUUUGUCUCUGGAGGAAAGUGCUUUGUCCCAGUUGUUCCCAAGAAGCUCCUACUGUUUCUGAGGUGGCCCUUUCCUGUGUCUUCAUAAUGUCCAGGGCAUGUGAGAGUCUCAGAUAUAAGAGGCAAGGCAUGGAUGAGGGAGACAAGAGAUCCAAAUUGAGGCCCUGGCCAUAGAAGAAGCAGAGAGAAGAGGAAGAGAAGCUGGAGAGCCACUGGACACUUCUGCUGGAAUCUGCACAACCCAUAUGCGGUGGCUAGGAGCUCAGUCAUCAGCUGAACCCGUGCCACCUGAGGUCUAACUUUGACUUAGGGUGUAUCCAAAGCUCUCUGGAUCUUCUUGGACUUCAAAUGACUCCAUGAGACUUGGGCAAUCUUUUGUAGAAUGUCUGCUCAUGGAAAAAAAAAAAAAAAAAAAAAAAAACAACAAAAAAACCCAUGUGUUCAGGGAACACCUGCUGCCUCUCAUCUGGCUCCUCCCCUGCUACGUGGUACCUGGAUAGUCACAGCAAGCCAACCAGGACAUGGGCUCUACUGGUCUGGGACCCACAGUUUGCUUGUUACUUCGGUUUUAAAGUCCUCUGGAGUUGGUUAUUUUAACCUUUGAGGAGAGAUUGGAUUGGGACUUUUGGAAAGGACUGGACCACUUCAUACUGAAAGGUUCAUCUCACCCCUGGUCGGAGGAGGCAAUUUCUCCUUAACCUGCUAGGAUAGGAAAUACAUACUUGUUCACCGUGGCAGCUUGGAUGGGAGGCUCAUGGAUUUGAAUGCUUGCCUUUCAGUUUAUGGCACUGUUUGGGGAGGUCUAGAGACGUGUGGCCCUGCUGAAGGAAGUAUGUCACUGUCCCUGGGAAUGGGCUUUGGGGUUACAAAACCUCCUGCGGUUCCCGGUGCUUGCUCUCUCAGCUCCCUGUGGUUCAAAGUGUGAGCUCUCAACUUGCUUCUCCGACUGCCUGACCACAAUGGUGAUGGAUUCUCAUCUCUCAGGGACUGCGAGCCCAAAUAAACUCUUCCUUGUAUAAGUCACUUUAGUCAUAGUGUUUUAUCACAGCAACAGAAAAGUACCCAGUAGAGUCGUGAUAUGGCUCUAUUCUAUGCCCAGGUAAUUCUCCAAAUAUUGAGAACCUUUGGUAUCCGAGUGAGAUGCCUGACUAAGGGGAUCAAAGAAGGCUUCAGAAUUGGGACUGGGUGCUAGAAAGUCUGAGAUGUGAUUGAUUAGUUGAGAAUGUCAGCUCCACCUCCAUCUGGAAACGGAAGACAGACUGGGUAUUAUACUCUGUCAUAGAAAGGCCUGUAUUUGAUCAAUUAUGACUGUAACACAACCUCAACUCAUAUCUUUGGACCAUGCUAGUAUCCCUAAGACUCUGGGUUCCAGAUCCAGCGACAGCAAACCCCAAACAAACCAUCACUCACUGAGCCCCAGAAGAGAAGGCAGUUCCAUCCAGUGAGGUUUGAGCGCUUCUGGAUUUAACACAGCCAUGUUUACAGAGAGGGAUCCGCUUUGAAUCCACAGCCAGACGGUUCUGUGCUCAGGAUCUGUCAGAGCUUUUCCUAUGUGCCUGACAAUGUGUAUUCAUUAAAAAAAAAAAAAAAGGUUUGUUUGUUUGUUUAUUGUGUACAUACACACACCUACCCCAGUGCAUGCCAUGGCGUGUGUGCGGAGAUCAAAGGACAACUUGUUGGAGUCUAUACUUUCCUAUCACAUGGGUUCUCAAUGACUAGACUCAGGUCUCCAGGCUUGGUAGUGAUAAUUUUUAGUCAUCUACCCAUUCUGCCACCAACAAUUGGUAUAGUAAAGAUGGUGUUUCCUUCCAUUAUGAACCAUUUUUUAAAAAUCAAAUUAUACUUAGGGAGAUCAUGAGAACCCUCGAUUUUUAGCUGGACAACAGAACUACAGGAGGCCCUUGUAGUUGGUGACCAGAGGAGAGUUUAGAUUUGGUGGUGGUAGUGGGGGGGACCAAGCCCUCUCCCUGUGGCACCUUCACUGAAUAUGGGAAAAUAGUGACUGAGUUAAGAGGGUGAUAGGAGACAUAGCUAGAGAGUUUGAGAAGUGGAGGGUGUGAGGAAAAGUGAGUUUGUGUCCCAGGUAUUGUGGGUAAAAGUGGAUCCUCUUACUCCACGGUCCUGUGUCAUUUCGCCACUUCUAGGUCCACAUCCUUUCUCACAAUACUUUCUUCCUCUUUUGAAUCUCCAACCUAGAAGCAGCUCUAACAACUGGAAGAAUUUAUGUCAGUUUAUUAGCAAGGAGAGACAGCCAAGCACACAGGAAGACCAGUCAGCCAUGAGUUCAAGGGGGAAUGUGGUUUAGCUAGGUGGGCAAGUCAGGUGAAGAGAAGCUUCCAAACUGGGAGAGACACUGGGGUAGCAAGGAGGAAGGUCCACUCAAGGGAGUAAAACUGGUGGGGUAAAAACCCAGUGGAGUAAAAAGGGUGGGGUAUGAUGACCUUGAAGAGAAGUAAGAUGACCAUGGGGUGAGGUAGGGGAGGGGAGCAGGAGUAGCCCCAGAUAAGGGUUAUAGAGAUGUACCUGGAAAAGAACGGAUGCCAGGGUAAGUGUGGACAGCUCGGAGUGUGCUUGAGUGCUGACACAGACGGGAAGGAGUGACGGCUAAGUCAGAUGUAGGUGACAGGGCCUGGUACCUAUCUAGCAAGGAGAUGGGCAGAGAUACAAAGAUCAGAAUUCAUAUGGGGGCUUGGGACAGUGACAAAGUCGUGGCAACAGAUGCUUGCAAGUGAUGGACAAAAGAAGUAGAGAGCUCUCAGGGAAAAGGAGAGAGAGAAGGGAACAACAUAACAAGAAGGUGCCUAGUGACCCAUGACAAUUGUAGGUAGCAGCCUCUGUUUGACGGCCUUAAUUGUGAGUGUGUGCAAUGUGUCAAAUCUGGGUGGGGCAGGAGACUCUCUGGUCAUUCAUCUGGUGCCUGAGAGAAGACUUACAUAGAGGGAAUAUGGAGCAGAAAAUCCUUCUGAAAUGGAAUGAGUGACAGAUAUAUGGCCUCUUCCAUGUUUGGAGAAUUCUGCUGUGGUAAAAAGAACAACUUUCAAAACAUGUUUAUAGAAAUCACAGCACAAUUUCAAUUUUUUUUAAUUUGGAAAGAAUUUCAAACUGACAGAAAAUACUUAAAAGUAAAACUAUAAGUGUAUCUUUAAGUAUAUAUCUGUAAAAUUACAAAUAUAUGUGUAACCAUC